GACGAACGCUGGCGGCGUGCUUAACACAUGCAAGUCGAACGGAAAGGCCCUGCUUGCAGGGUACUCGAGUGGCGAACGGGUGAGUAACACGUGGGUGAUCUGCCCUGCACUUCGGGAUAAGCCUGGGAAACUGGGUCUAAUACCGGAUAGGAGCCAUUUUUAGUGUGAUGGUUGGAAAGUUUUUUCGGUGUAGGAUGAGCUCGCGGCCUAUCAGCUUGUUGGUGGGGUAAUGGCCUACCAAGGCGGCGACGGGUAGCCGGCCUGAGAGGGUGGACGGCCACAGUGGGAGUGAGAUACGGCCCAGACUCCUACGGGAGGCAGCAGUGGGGAAUAUUGCACAAUGGGCGCAAGCCUGAUGCAGCGACGCCGCGUGGGGGAUGACGGCCUUCGGGUUGUAAACUCCUUUCGCUAGGGACGAAGCUUUUUGUGACGGUACCUAGAUAAGAAGCACCGGCUAACUACGUG
rnacentral:rRNA from 1 species